CCAGUCGGUCCUUCCACCAGGCGCCGGUAAGAAUCGGAGCGCACGGAACAAAUAUUUGAUAUAUUUGUUCAGCUGCUGCAGAUUGGACAGACACCAACAUCACCUUACACACCAACAGGUGUCACCACCGUCCAUGACGUCGUCCACGAUUGCCAAAACGUUGUCCAUGACUGGCGAGACCUGGUCCAUGAUCGCAGAGACUAUGUCAAGCAUCAGAAACCAUCAAAAAAUGCCAUAAUAUGGUGUCACUGCUUCCUCCACAACAUCAUCCACAAUCGCAGAGACAUGGUCCAUGAUCAGAGAGACAUUGUUGAGGAUGAGGGAGACAUUGUCCAUAUUGUAGAGACCUUUUCAAAAAUGAGAGAGACGUUGUCUGCAAUCAGAGACACUGCCCAUGUUCGGAGAGACCUUGUCCAUGAUCUCAGAGUGCCCUCGUACAAUGAAGACAUUCUUUGAGACCAGGACAGAGUCCUCCAGGUAAUUCACAAACACAUUUACAUCAACUGUCCAACACAGAGCACUGACAAACUGUUUAUGCUCAGUAUUUUAUCUACAGUCUGAAUAGUUCAUAAUUUGUCACAAAAUAGACUUAACCCAUUAAUGACGUUUAUUUACAUAGUUCAUGUAAGAACAGUUCUAAGAAAAAAAGGAAUUUAAGGAACUAUCUUAAAGCAGCCAUCUUAAUUUUGUUUUCCACAGAUACAGAUAUUUGAUAUUUGUUUGUCCUUUUGUUUUGGCAUUUUGCUAUUUCAAACAGCGCAAUAUUAGACUCAAAUUGAAUCUAUUGCUGUGUAUAUAGUCAUGCUAAAUACUGCUCAUAUUGUAUAUAAUUUUUAUAUUCUAUAUAUAUAUUAAUUGUACUAUUUUUGCUGCUGCAACACUGAAUUUGCCCACUGAAGGACUAAUAGAGGAUUAUCUUACUCUUACACAAAUAAAUAGUUCUGAGCACUGAAUAUUUUGCCAGUGUGUUUAAUAUUGUACAAAAGUAAAUAUUUUUAGCCAGAGGUUAGGGUUAGGCUUACAGUUUUUAGCUACUUUUAGCCAGAGACAGAGCCUGCAGAGACAGAAUAUGUUUAUCACAAAAACUGUUCAAGUCCUGAAACUUUAUUAAAAAUAGAAUUGAAGAACUAAAAUGUUUAAUAAUCCCUCAAAUACCUCUAUUACUACAUAUAACUUUUCCUAUUCUUACUGCUUGUGAUAUUACAAAUCACCUCUUAGAUUUGAGAGACAGCAUGGCAUUUUCUGAGAUUGAACACAUAGUAAGGCAUGUUUUGACUAUUUUUGAUGCCAUACCAUACUAUGACAUUUUUUUUGACCAUUUAUCAUGCUCUAUUAUAGUAUGACCUUUUUUGACACCAUAUACUGUAACAGUUUUUUGAUGGUUUUGUUCAUAUUUUUUUUGUGUUGUCAUAUAUCAUCUUGUUUUAUACCUUGUUUAUAUCAUAUCUUUUUAAAUUUUUGCUUCUGUACCACUGACUUUUUUUUCGCUGAUUAUCUUAGUCUUACUCAAAUAAAUACU